rnacentral:rRNA from 1 species
CCUACGGGAGGCAGCAGUGGGGGAUAUUGCACAAUGGGGGAAACCCUGAUGCAGCGACGCCGCGUGAGCGAGGAAGUAUUUCGGUAUGUAAAGCUCUAUCAGCAGGGAAGAAAAUGACGGUACCUGACUAAGAAGCCCCGGCUAACUACGUGCCAGCAGCCGCGGUAAU